AUUGAACGCUGGCGGCAGGCCUAACACAUGCAAGUCGAGCGGGGUGAUGGUGCUUGCACUAUCACUUAGCGGCGGACGGGUGAGUGAUGCUUAGGAAUCUGCCUAUUAGUGGGGGACAACAUCUCGAAAGGGAUGCUAAUACCGCAUACGUCCUACGGGAGAAAGCAGGGGAUCACUUGUGACCUUGCGCUAAUAGAUGAGCCUAAGUCGGAUUAGCUAGUUGGUGGGGUAAAGGCCUACCAAGGCGACGAUCUGUAGCGGGUCUGAGAGGAUGAUCCGCCACACUGGGACUGAGACACGGCGCAGACUCCUACGGGAGGCAGCAGUGGGGAAUAUUGGACAAUGGGGGGAACCCUGAUCCAGCCAUGCCGCGUUUGUGAAGAAGGCCUUAUGGUUGUAAAGCACUUUAAGCGAGGAGGAGGCUCUUUUGGUUAAUACCCAAGAUGAGUGGACGUUACUCGCAGAAUAAGCACCGGCUAACUCUGUGCCAGCCGCCGCGGUAA
rnacentral:rRNA from 1 species